rnacentral:rRNA from 1 species
CAGUCGCCGCGGUAAUGCGGAGGGUGCAAGCGUUAAUCGGAAUUACUGGGCGUAAAGCGUGCGUAGGCGGUUCGUUAAGUCUGUUGUGAAAGCCCCGGGCUCAACCUGGGAAUGGCAAUGGAUACUGGCGAGCUAGAGUGUGUCAGAGGAUGGUGGAAUUCCCGGUGUAGCGGUGAAAUGCGUAGAGAUCGGGAGGAACAUCAGUGGCGAAGGCGGCCAUCUGGGACAACACUGACGCUGAGGCACGAAAGCGUGGGGAGCAAACAGGAUUAGAGACCCCCGUAGUCCCUGUCUCUUAUAC